UAGAGAUAGACAGAUUUGAGGAAAUUUUGAAUGCAUGUUGGAAAUUGGUUACAAUUAAGCAGACAAAGAACAAGUGUGCAGAGAAGCAGAGGAAAAGACUCACAGAUCUAUAUAUGGGAUAUUACUAAUCUAAUGAGAGACAGGAAGUUCUCUUUGUGUGAACAGAUGGACUCUAUUUGUGCGCCACCCAUAUUGGAGGAUUAGUCCUUUCAGGUACGGAAAGACCCUGGUGUUACUGCAGAACCGGAACACAACCAGACUCAACAAAACAUAAGUUGUGCAUUUAGCACAGAAUUGUCAGAUGGAGGAUCAGAUGGAGGACCUGCACCUAGACACAACCACAAUGCAUCCCUGAAGUGUCAGCAGAGAUUAUGUCAACUAGAUCAUCCCCUGUGAAGGCCUCACCGACGCGACAGCCAGUGGCACAGAUUCCCAACAAACCGUUCCAUACCAGCGUGGAAGAGAGUGGAACACGCUGUCAGUCCUUGCCACUGAAGGGGACGUGCAGCAUCGGCAUGGUGUGUUGCUGUGGUGCUGGAGUGACUUGCCAGGACGAUGGAUUAACUAGCUGCUAGGCUGCUGAAAAAUGGAGAGGCAUGCCGGGACAGAGUCUUCGCCAUCCAUCAGAGGGUGUUGCGGUCGCCGUAACGGACCUGUUCCCAAAUGGGGUGAGGGGGUGGGUUGUAGAGUGCAGCCUUGAGGGUGUGCAUGUGGUGAGCAGGGUGCGGCCGAGAGCCAUAGGAGCAGAGCGAGGCCGGUAGAACGAAGUCUAAUGAGAGACACCUCCAAGACACACUAGUCUCGAGUCCCACAGAGGAGCUCUGGAAGGAUAUAAGAAGGAGUAACGACAGUGGAAGGCGAGAGAGGAUAUUAUUAAUAGUUGCUUGGAUUUUGGUUUGUCUCUCUGUGCAUGAUCUUACCUUCAAUAAGACCUUCCUCUUUGCGCUCUGCACAUGGAGCUGAUUAGCAGACUCUGGUGUGUUUGAUUAGGAAGAGUAUGUGUGCUUCAGGAAAAAGGUGUGGGAAACCCUUGUCUUGAACAUUUCAGUCCAUGGGUAUGUAUGCACGAUAAUGAUGUACUAAAGACAGAAAGUGAGGCCAGCAGGGGGUGCUCACCCUGUGUUCUGUGUGGGUCCUAACACCCCAGUAUGGGGACACUAUACUGUCAAAAAGCACUGUCUUUCAGUCCAGAAUGUACUUCGAAUAAAGAGUUGGGGUUUAACACUAUGGCUGAUGUCGCAUUAUCCAUCCAGGUGAAUGCUGCACCUUGGUGGUGGUUAAGGAGAUUCCUCCUUCCAUGUAAAAGCGCUUUGAGUGCUAAGAAAAGCGCUAUUUCAUGAGUUCACAUAUACAUAUAAUUAAAUAGAGUAAAGUUAUGCGUAUUUGCCGUGUCGUCCAGGGGGAGGGCUCCGAGCUGGGAAUUUUGACCCAAACCCAGAGCACUCCCCCCGGUUGUGGUAAGAAUAGAUAGAACUAGAAGUGAGGAGAUGGGGUGGAGGAGGGAUGCUGAUAAACUGUCAAACGAACAGAGGUAAGUCUGCUGUAUUUAUACUCUUGUCGUUGGUUGAGUUGAUUAACAGAAUGCUCUCCACUUGUGCUAAUAGUUUUAAUUAUCUGAACCUACUCCUCCUGAACUUUGUUAACGCGGCUUCUGAUAACAAGUCAAAAAUCUUGGGUCUGCUUUUGCAUCCGAAAGUUAAGCGCACAGCGAAAUAGUAUUUCCCGUGCCAGCAUACCCCGAAUAAGUAUCAUGAAUCCAGAUGGAUGGGCAUCACUUUGAAAGCAGAAGUGAUGUCUAUGUUGGCUAGCCAAGCGCCUUGACCCACAAUUUUUAUCAUGUCGAUCACCUGAUCUAUGUCGUGGUAUCUGAGAGAAAAUUCGUCAAGUGGGAUCAAGCUGUUUAUGCUUGGGAACAUGGAAUUAUGCGGAGCUGACAGAUUGAUUAUAAGGCGUUUUUUAGCUGAAAAUUUUCUCGUAGCCACUCCAAUGGGGCUAAUACGAAAGACUUUGAAGGGGGAAUCUUCAAAAGGGCCGAUCAUGAUGCCUGACUCAACUUCUUUUAUAAUCAGUUUGUCUAUGACGUCAGGAUCUGCGAGAGCAGAUUGGAGAUUAUUACAGAUGAUGUUUUGGGAGAGCUGGCAUUCCACGCUGGGCUUAAAACCAUGUUUGAGGUCAGAUAACAGAUAAUUAGUGAAGUCGGAGUCUAGGUGGUGAGCUAGCUUGAUAGAAAGUCGAGAAAUAUUCACAGGAGUCGAUAAAUAAUUUUUUGUUUUUUUAUUGGCAGCCUUAAACACUGGGCAUACAGGACAGGCAUGAGUGCCGCCACAGAAAUUGCAGAUGUGCAGAAAUCUGCAAUGCUGUCUGGUACAAUUCCUAAUGUUAAAUCAGUUGCAGGAUUGCCUGCUGAAAGCAAAGGAGGGAGCUCUUCUUCCGGAAUCCGGAUUCGCAUUGAAGGUUGCAGGUCUUGGCACGUAGAUUUCACUGGGGUUGUGUCUGGGCAGGGGGAAUGGAAGGGUUAAUUUAAGGGCAUGACGUGGUGAAGUGUGCCACUGACCUACAGAUCGCGCAUUAAACAUUUUUGCAGCCCAGGAACUCCCUACUAUGUAGAUCGGGGUUGAGUGCACCCCAGUAGGGGCAUUGGUUCCACUGGGCUACUCGUACAGUGCACUUUGUGGAGAAAAGUUUAUGAUACGUUUAGAAGUGUCCUCCUCCAUAGGACAACGCAUGCUCGGAUAUAAGUGCCAAAUAUUCAGUUCACACCGCCUAUGGGGGAAGGCUGAACAGAUUACUUCCAUAAAAUGACUGAAAGCAAUAGAAAACUCAGAAAAUGAAAGUAUGCAAGAUGAAUGAGAGUUUGAGUUUUUUUAAGUGACUGAAAAAUCCACACAAUCUAUUUGUCGGUUUAAUUCAGAUACAGGGAGCAGAGAAAGUAGAGAUGAGAGAUCCACAUCUGGAUUUAGGAGAGAGGUUGGCUGACUGUAAAGUGACAUAGAGAUCGUACAGUUCCGCUUUGUUCAUCCUCUGUGAGAACUGCACGUCGGAAUUAACCAGCACUUGCCUCAAUCCUACUACGGUCCACUUCCCAAUAGGUGGAAUCGUUGAGAUGGCUGAACAGUAGGAGGACGCUGGGGAAGAAGUUGGAUGUCUUGCUGGUGGAGGCGAGAGCUGGCCUCGGAAUCGUGGUGAACGAGAGGCUAUUCAGGCAGGCCUGGUGGCCGUGCAAAGAAGCCUGGGGCUCAGGUGCUUUGUCAGGCGGAGAAGGAGUGAUCCUGGGGCUGGCAGAUUGUGGCAGAGGAUCCAGAGGGAAAUUGGACUCAUCGUCAGAUGGAAAAAGCUGAAGUUGAGACAUGGUAGCAAAACGGGCGAACCAAGAUGCUAAUAAACUGUCAAAUGAACAGAGGUAAGUCUGCUGUAUUUAUUCCUCCUGUCUUUGUCCUAAAAGGGUUGUAAAUUUUCCUUCAUUUCAUGCAAAUUUUAAAUCACAAAACACUGUGCACAAAAUUCCCAAAUGUUUUCACAGUAGUUCAUACAUCCAACCAAAACUUUAAUAUAUCAGGCGAAAACAAUUGCUGCUCUUUUUAUUGGUUUUACUAAAAUCACAAUCAUUUGUGCACCAUUUUUCCAAACACAAAACAAAACUCUGUUAUUUGUUAAAAUCUCGGUUGUACUUGGAAUGUUCUCAAUUAGCCCCAAAUAAAUAUCUGCUUAGUAAUACACACAACACAGGAAAUGCAAAUUUCCUAAUUGUUUACAAAGCUAUCUCAAUUACAAAAACUAUAAAAGGGGAGAAAAAAAAAUAGUGGAAAGUAGUGGAUUAGUAUUAGUGGAAAGAGCAAGAGAAGAAAAUAUAAAAAGACAUGGACAGAGGGAAAGAGAAGAGCAAGGUGUAAGAGGAAGGAGGAGAGGUAGAAGAAUAGGGUACAGACGAGUUUCAAAUUAAACCAGAGCCAACCUAAUUGCCCAUGUCAUAAAUUAUGAUUUUUCCUUGAGAGAAGCUGGACAGAUAGUUCAGCCCAAUAUAAGCAUUGUGCCACAGUCAAUGUCCCUGGACAACAAGUGCUCCAAUCCACUGAUGGUGUGGCACACAACACUGUCUUAGGGCUGCAAAACACAGAAAGGCUUCUAAAUUGUUUAAACUCCUUCAAUGAAAUCAACUUUCCACAGGGUGAUCAGGAGCAAACUGAGCGAAAUUGUGUAGUUGUGUGGGACAAUGUCCACUUUUACCAUUCAGCACCGGUACAAGAGUGGUUUGAGCAUCACCCACAUUUUAGGAUGGUGUUCCUUCCAGCAUAUUCUUCUCUUGGAGAUGGAAAGUAUAUGAUCACAACCCUUACAACCAAGUAAGUCUUCUUCAAGUGAUGGAAGAGGCUUGUGGAGAAGUUGAGGCUCAAGGAUGGAUCCAACAUUCACUGCUUUUUUUCCCACGAUGCAUGACUCAUGAAAAUAUAUGCUGAGAUGUUGAUUUGCCAAAUUCUUUGGCCAGAUGUAAAUGAGAGGCAAGAUCUAUAAAGUUAAUUGAUUCAAUGAUUACAGUACAUUUAUUUAUUUAUUUACUUACUUACUUGCUCAUUUAUUUUUUGCUAAAACUCAUCGUUAUAUAACUAAACUUGUCAUUAAAGAACUUUGAAGAACACGAUUAAAGAACAAGAAAAACAUGUAUUUUCAUUCAUGUAUUUGUGUAUCUACAGCUGAAUUUGUUAUCAAAUCAACAGAGAACACACUUGUAGUUUUGUUGUUAGUAUUUAUUUUUUACUUUAUUAGA